GUAGGAGGUGAAAGGAAAGAAGCAUCAUUCUCCAAAGGGAACUAUUCCCGAGUUUCCAUUCUGGGAGAGCGCGGAGGCCAAGGCGGCUCGCUACAAUGUGAGCCACGUGCCUCGGCGAUUAGGGCUGUGGUUUGGGCAGCCUUUCAAAGACGCCCCCGGGAGACGCUCACACCCCUUCUCAGCCCAGCGCAGGAUGCUCCGUGUUUUUAUUGCAGGGCAAUCCAGAGUUUCUGCGAGAUUCAUAGUUCUGGCCGCAAUAGCCUGUCCCACUGACAGGACCCCGAGGCCGUUCCAGCGGGAGGAGAGCCAAGGAGGCUGCGCUCGUGGACUUGACGUGUCUCGCAGGCCUGCUCCUAGAAUUUCAUCCCUUGCCGUCCCCGCUUCUCUCCCCCUCCAGCCCAGCGUGAACUUCACUUGGGCCAAAAAAUCAGCUGCAUGAGAACAGGAUGGAGCAGGCAGCUGGAGACACGAGUCAAUAAAGCCCGCGAAGGAAACCUCAGGAUUUUCCUAACUGUGAACUUAGCGAGAAGCAACAGCAGGAGCUCCAGAAACUUCCUUAGGUGACAUGGAGUAAGUCAUCCCCUGAGCCAAGUCUGACCUCACCCUGGCGUCUGCCUGACUUUCCCAAACCUGCCCGUUGGACUCACACAGACGAAGUGCAAUCUCUUUUAAUAAAGCUAUUGAUGCCCUUGCAAGCGCAGAAGGCAGCCACCAGGCACCUGCGGUGUCCCUGAGCCCUGAUGAACUCUCUUGGGUCUUCUGGCCCUUUGCUCUCACAGCUGGUCACCUGCUCAUUUUGCUGUGGGUGGGUCCCGGCUGGGGGAUGCUUCUUCUGGGCACAGUAUCUCGAGCUGCUGCAUCCCCACAGCUGCCAAAGAGAGGCCGGAAGGGACUCAUGCAUUGGGUAGACUGGAGUGCCUCAGCUUCAGCACCAAUGACCUUUGGAGCCAGUUACUGUUUGCUCUAUGGGGCCCGCCCCGCGCAUUGUAGGAUUUUGAGCAUCCUUCUUGGCCUCUACCCACUAGAUGCCACUAGCAUUCUCCUCCCAGUAGUGACAAGCAAAAAUGUCUCCAGAUGUGGCUAAUGUCCCCUGGAUGGCAAAGUCAUGCUGGUCGAGAACCAGUGGGGAGGAAUGUUUGAUGAAAGGCGCUCCAACUGUAAGGUUGUAAACUUAUUGACUCCAUGAAUUUCCGACCUUUUCCCAAAUCGCCUGCUUAAUUCAGAUGGUGAAGCCACUAAGAGCAUAAGGCUAAUUUAACUAAAAGAAGUAAAGAAACAAAACAAAAACUUGGUAUUUUGAAAGUCCUCCAUGGGUAAUCAAGGCAAUCCUUAAAGGAUUAUGAGGAGGAGGAGGAAAUUGCAAAAAUUCCUGGUCCCUCUUGGAAUGAAAGGAGUAGGGGGAGGGGGUGAACUGAGCAGAGGGGAAGAUGACUAAAAACUCGUUCCUUCGGGAUUUCCCUUUCUGGCCAAGAGCGUUCAUAGCAUACAGCUUAAUAAAUGAACUUCACAAAAUGUCCCUUCUUAAUAAAUGAACUUCACAAAAUGUCCUUUUCCCGCAAUUGGUGGUUUCCUCUGAUUUCAGCUGGCGGGAAGAGGAGGAAACGAAAGAGCCAACAUUCAAAUGAAAUGAAAUUGCUUAGAGGUCUUCAAAUAAAUAGCUG
rnacentral:lncRNA from 1 species